GCGGGCGAAGGGGAAGACACGACUCCCUUUAAAAUCCAGUUCCGAGAGGAGUGCCGGUUCGACCCCGGCCACCCGCACCA
rnacentral:tRNA from 1 species